rnacentral:rRNA from 1 species
AAGGUGAAACCGCGAAUGGCUCAUUAAAUCAGUUAUGGUUCCUUAGAUGGUGUUAUCCCACAUGGAUAACUGCGGCAAUUCCGGAGCUAAUACAUGCCAAGAAGCUCGGACCUUCGGGAAUGGGCGCUUUUAUUAGACCAAAACCAUCCGUCUCUCCGGAGACGGUGAAGCUGAUGAAUCUGCAUAACUUUGAGCGGAUCGCAUGGCCUUGCGCCGGCGACGGAUCUUUCAAAUGUCUGCCCUAUCAACUUUCGAUGGUACGUGAUAUGCCUACCAUGGUUGCAACGGGUAACGGGGAAUCAGGGUUUGAUUCCGGAGAGGGAGCAUGAGAAACGGCUACCACAUCCAAGGAAGGCAGCAGGCGCGCAAAUUACCCACUCUCGGCACGAGGAGGUAGCGACGAAAAAUAACAAUGCGGGACUCUUCGAGGCCCCGUAAUUGGAAUGAGUACACUUUAAAUCCUUUAACGAGGAUCAAUUGGAGGGCAAGUCUGGUGCCAGCAGCCGGGGUAAUUCCAGCUCCAAUAGCGUAUAUUAAAGUUGUUGC